rnacentral:rRNA from 1 species
UACGGAGGGUGCAAGCGUUAAUCGGAAUUACUGGGCGUAAAGCGCACGCAGGUGGCUGAGUCAGUCGAUUGUGAAAGCCCUGGGCUUAACCUGGGAAUUGCAGUCGAUACUACUCAGCUAGAGUAUGGGAGAGGGUAGUGGAAUUCCCGGUGUAGCGGUGAAAUGCGUAGAUAUCGGGAGGACAUCAGUGGCGAAGGCGGCUACCUGGCCCAAUACUGACACUCAGGUGCGACGAGCGUGGGGAGCAAACAGG